GACAGAGCCUCGAGCGUUAGGCGGAAUCACUGGGCUUAAAGCGUGUGUAGGCGGAUGCCUAAGUACCUUGUGAAAUCCCACGGCUCACCCGUGGAACCGCUGGGUAUACUGGGCAUCUUGGGCCAUUCAGGGGCAACUGGAACAAGCGGUGGAGCGGUGAAAUGCGUAGAUAUCGCUUGGAACGCCGACGGUGAAAACAGGUUGCUGGGAAUGUGCCGACGCUGAGAACACGGAAAGCCAGGGGAGCAAACGGG
rnacentral:rRNA from 1 species